ACUGUAUUUGUCGUUUGGAGCUGACAGCAAAAAUUGUUUGUGGCCCGAAAAUUAAUGUAACCGUUAAAAGCAUCCUCGAUCGCCGAAGACGGCCACGCAACUGAAUUGAAAUGAUAAUUCAAAUUGGUUCACGCAGCCAUCCGUUCAGAACCAAGUAUGACUAUAUGUAUGUAUGUAGCUAUAAAAAUUAAUAUAUAGCCGGCUUCAUCUGCCUUGGCUUAUCGCUUGCCAUUUGUUUGUUACCAAUGGAAAUUAGAUUGUGAUUUUAAUCGAUUUGACAGUUGUUCUAUUAAUUCAUUCAG